rfam:Pseudolabrys sp. Root1462 contig_1, whole genome shotgun sequence.
GAAGCGUCAGGCUUGGGAGAGCCAAAGCGCUUCGACACACGACGGGGUCAGCCUCGGGAGGGCGGGCAGCGUCGGAAUCAAGGGGAGAUGACCGAUGCAGAAUUCGCUGCUGGUCGGACUAUCGCGUCAGGUCGCGCUCG